UGACAACUUGGUUGUUUGGCUGUUAAGUAAAUGGAUACACAGAGUUUGUUUCAAAAAUAACAAGGCCUAUUUUAUCCAACUGAAGUCCAACCGCUGUACGAAGAGCCAGACGUCUGCCACAAAUCUGUACGUAUGGAUUUUGAACACACAGCAGAACAUAAAGCAACAUCGCAUAAAUCUAACCCAUCUAAAAGCAAUGAGUCCAGGGUGACAUUCAAGGAAAGGUCAUGAAGAGUCUAUUGUCUGUGUUGAACACUACACCAGUGAGGACAAGAUAAAAGAUGCACAAACCUAACAGAGAAUCAUUGUCUAAGACCAACUCCCGGAGAUUUCUUCGUAGGAACAGUUUAUUCCAAAUGAGGAUUCUUUGGUUUCACACAAGAUAUCGAAUGAGCUUACCUAUGAUCCUCCGGUGAUUUCGAUCGAUG